rnacentral:rRNA from 1 species
UACGGAGGGGACUAGCGUUGUUCGGAAUUACUGGGCGUAAAGCGCACGUAGGCGGAUUUGUAAGUCAGGGGUGAAAUCCCGGGGCUCAACCUCGGAACUGCCUUUGAUACUGCAAAUCUCGAGUCCGGAAGAGGUGAGUGGAAUUCCUAGUGUAGAGGUGAAAUUCGUAGAUAUUAGGAAGAACACCAGUGGCGAAGGCGGCUCACUGGCCGGUACUGACGCUGAGGUGCGAAAGCGU